rnacentral:tRNA from 1 species
GCCUUCAUGGUGUAACGGUAGCACACUCGGCGUGUAUUCGAGAGGUCCAGGUUCGAAUCCUGGUGAAGUCA